AUGACGGUACCUAUAGAAGAAGCCCCGGCUAACUUCGUGCCAGUAGCCGCGGUAAUACGAGGGGGGCGAGCGCUGUUCGGAAUUAUUGGGCGUAAAGGGUGCGUAGGCGGUCUGACGAGUCUUAUGUGAAAUCUAUGGGCUCAACCCAUAGCCUGCAUGAGAAACUGUCGGGCUUGAGUAUGGGAGAGGUGAGUGGAAUUUCCGGUGUAGCGGUGAAAUGCGUAGAUAUCGGAAGGAACACCUGUGGCGAAAGCGGCUCACUGGACCAUUACUGACGCUGAGGCACGAAAGCUAGGGGAGCAAACAGGAUUAGAUACCCUGGCAGUCCUAGCCCUAAACGAUGAUUGCUUGAUGUGGCAGGUACCCAAUCCUGCCGUGUCGAAGCUAACGCGAUAAGCAAUCCGCCUGGGGAGUACGGUCGCAAGGUUGAAACUCAAAGGAAUUGACGGGGGCCCGCACAAGCGGUGGAGCAUGUGGUUUAAUUCGGCGCAACGCGAAGAACCUUACCUGGGCUCGAAAUGUACCGGAAUCCGGCAGAAACGUCGGCGUCUAGCAAUAGACCGGUAUAUAGGUGCUGCAGGCUGUCGUCAGCUCGUGU
rnacentral:rRNA from 1 species